GAGUUUGAUCGUGGCUCAGAUUGAACGCUGGCGGCAGGCCUAACACAUGCAAGUCGAGCGGUAGAGAGAAGCUUGCUUCUCUCGAGAGCGGCGGACGGGUGAGUAAUGCCUAGGAAUCUGCCUGGUAGUGGGGGAUAACGCUCGGAAACGGACGCUAAUACCGCAUACGUCCUACGGGAGAAAGCAGGGGACCUUCGGGCCUUGCGCUAUCAGAUGAGCCUAGGUCGGAUUAGCUAGUUGGUGAGGUAAUGGCUCACCAAGGCGACGAUCCGUAACUGGUCUGAGAGGAUGAUCAGUCACACUGGAACUGAGACACGGUCCAGACUCCUACGGGAGGCAGCAGUGGGGAAUAUUGGACAAUGGGCGAAAGCCUGAUCCAGCCAUGCCGCGUGUGUGAAGAAGGUCUUCGGAUUGUAAAGCACUUUAAGUUGGGAGGAAGGGCAGUAAAUUAAUACUUUGCUGUUUUGACGUUACCGACAGAAUAAGCACCGGCUAACUCUGUGCCAGCA
rnacentral:rRNA from 1 species